rnacentral:rRNA from 1 species
CAUUAACACAACAUAAUGACAAACACAUAAACCUUUAGUGCUUGAGGGAUGGAUUUUAAAAGAUAUGAUGAAUAAUCAUAAAUUUUAAGCCACUCUCAUUCAUUAAAAUAAACUUUUUUAUAAUUUUUGUAUUUACAAAAAAUUUAAAAAUUAAAAAUCAAUUUAAAAAUUUUCAACGAUGGAUAUCUUGGUUCCCAUAUCGAUGAAGAACGCAGCCAAAUGCGAUACGCAAUGCGAAUUGCAGAAUUCCGCGAGUCAUCAGAUCUUUGAACGCAAAUGGCGCUCGGUUAAAAAAUACCCGAGCAUGUUUGUUUCAGUGUGUUCGGAAUCAUAUAUCUUAAUGCGAUUGAAUUUAUAAUUCUCUCGUUAAACAUGAAAGCGCUGAAUUGUUCAGUGCCGACCGAAGUAGUCACUUCUCAGCAAGUGAUCUCGGUUGUGCAUAACUGAAGAUUCACUCAAAGCGUCUUUUUAAUAUAUUUAUUAUUCUCCACUCCACACCUGAAAUCAAGCAAGAUCACCC